rnacentral:lncRNA from 1 species
GGGAAGACGAGAAGCUGGCCGCCUCCUUGCUGGACGGGAAAUUCCCGCGGAGCACCUCCAUGACGGACACGGUCCGGGAAGGCCACGGCAUCCCCCCUCCCCCACAGANAGGUGGACACCAGGAGCUCCAGCGACCACCACCUGGAGACCACGAGCACCAUCUCCACGGUCUCCAGCAUGUCCACGCUGUCCUCGGAGAGCGGCGAGCCCACCGACACCUACACGUCCUUCGCCGACGGCCAAACUUUUCUACUCGAGAAGCCACCAGUGCCUCCAAAGCCCAAACUCAAGUCCCAGCUCAGCAAGGGGCCGGUUACUUUCAGGGACCCACUUUUGAAGCAGUCUUCGGACAGCGAGCUCAUCUCCCAGCACCACGCGGCCACGCUGGCGGCCACCAGCGCGGCCCGGCCACGCUACCUCUUUCAGAGAAGGUCCAAGCUAUGGGGGGACCCCAUGGAGAGCAGGCCCGGCCACGGGGCCGAAGAGGACAAACCGACUGUGAUCAGCGAGCUGAGCUCCCGCCUGCAGCAGCUCAACAAGGACACGCGCUCCUUGGGCGAGGAACCGGCCGGCUCCGCCCUGGAUCCCGGCAAGAAGUCGCCGGUGGUGGCCGCACGCCGGGCGUCCACGGAAGGACCUUUGAGCCGAGGGACUGGGAAAGAGCCCAAGGAAUUCUGAGGUGGGAACGUCAGGUCCCGGUUCGGGCCGGUGACGAUCCCAGGGACACCGGGAUGGUGACAAUGCCAAGGGGACAAUUCCCUUCAUCCGCGGUGGCCCUCGGUGGCCGCGCCCGGGAGCAGUUUCCUCGUGUUUCACCCAAAUCCCUGGAAUUUUCGAGGUUGGAAAACCCCUCUGGUCCCACCGAGUCCGACCGUUCCCAGCGUUGCCCCGUGUUCCCGUCCACGCGGCUUUUCAUCCCGCCGGGAACGGGGAUUCCGCCCCUUCCCUUGGGCAUCCCCUUCCCACGCUUCCUCAGCUUUUCGGGAAGGAAUUUUCCCAGAAUCCAGCUUCACCUCGAGCUGAUUCCCUCUCAUUCCCGGGGAGCAGAGCCCACCCUGCCCCGGCUGGAAUUCCUGACCGGGAUUCCUGGAGCGGCGGCGGCGGGAUCCUGGGAAAAUCCGGGAUCCUGGAAAACGCCGCCAAGCCGCGGGAGAGGCGCGGGAUGUGCCGGGAGCCGCGCACGAGGCCGAGCGCGUUGCGGGUGUGACAUCCGUGUCCCCAAUAAAGCUGACGGUGACCGUGACGUGUGUUUGUGUCAUUCCCACGGCCAUUCCCAGGAUUUUGGGAUCCGCGUUCCGCUCCCGGAGCCGCCUCUGGCUCCGCAUUCGCUGCUCCAGCUCUCCGGGCGAUAUUCCCAUGAAAUUCCUGCCACGUUCCCUGUGUCCCGUGCCCAGGAUUGGCCACUCAUCCACAAUCCCGAUUGGAUCCAUCUUCCCAACCUCUGGGAAUCACCGGGAGCGUUCCUGAACAUCCCAAAAAACCCUGCCCCGGCUGCUUUGUCUUUUCCAGCCCACUGGAAUGGUCUGAUCGCGGUUUAA